rnacentral:rRNA from 1 species
UCAGUAUUAAUAUUGUAACAUGGGCUCGCUGAAAGGUGGCCUAUAAAACAACUUUUAACAACGGAUCUCUUGGUUCUCGCAUCGAUGAAGAACGUAGCAAAGUGCGAUAACUAGUGUGAAUUGCAUAUUCAGUGAAUCAUCGAGUCUUUGAACGCAUCUU